rnacentral:rRNA from 1 species
CCUACGGGAGGCAGCAGUGGGGAAUAUUGCACAAUGGGGGAAACCCUGAUGCAGCAACGCCGCGUGAGCGAUGAAGGCCUUCGGGUCGUAAAGCUCUGUCCUAAGGGAAGAAUACUGACGGUACCUUAGGAGGAAGCCCCGGCUAACUACGUGCCAGCAGCCGCGGUAAUACGUAGGGGGCUAGCGUUAUCCGGAAUUACUGGGCGUAAAGGGUGCGUAGGCGGCCCUUCAAGUCAGAGGUGAAAGGCUACGGCUCAACCGUAGUAAGCCUUUGAAACUGUAGGGCUUGAGUGCAGGAGAGGAUAGUGGAAUUCUCAGUUUAGUGGUGAAAUGCGUAGAUAUUGGGAAGAACACCAGUUUCGAAGGCGGUCCUAUGGACUGUAACUGACGCUGAGUCACGAAAGCGUGGGGAGCGAACAGGAGUAGAUACUCGAGUAGUC